rnacentral:rRNA from 1 species
CGAACGCUGGCGGCGUGCUUAACACAUGCAAGUCGAGCGAUGAAGUUUCUUCGGAAAUGGAUUAGCGGCGAACGGGUGAGGAACACGUGAAGAAUCUGCCCUCCACUUUGGGAUAACACCGGGAAACCGGUGCUAAUACUGAAUAUUGAAACAUAAGUGGCAUCACUGAGUUUUGAAAGAAUUUCGGUGGAGGAUGACUUCGCGGCCUAUCAGCUAGUUGGUGAGGUAAUGGCUCACCAAGGCAACGACGGGUAGCCGGCCUGAGAGGGCGACCGGCCACACUGGGACUGAGACACGGCCCAGACUCCUACGGGAGGCAGCAGUGGGGAAUAUUGGGCAAUGGAGGAAACUCUGACCCAGCGACGCCGCGUGAGGGAUGAAGGCCUUCGGUUGUAAACCUCUUUCAGUAGGAAGAAGCGAAAGUGACGGUACUACAGAAGAAGCACGGCUAACUAUGUGCCAGCAGCCGCGGUAAUCUGAUGGC